GGACCCGCACAAGUAGUGGAGCAUGUGGUUUAAUUCGAAGAUACGCGCAGAACCUUACCAACACUUGACAUGUUCGUCGCGACUUUAAGAGAUUAAAGUUUUCGGUUCGGCCGGACGAAACACAGGUGCUGCAUGGCUGUCGUCAGCUCGUGUCGUGAGAUGUUGGGUUAAGUCCCGCAACGAGCGCAACCCUCACUUUUAGUUGCCAUCAUUAAGUUGGGCACUCUGAAAGAACUGCCAGUGAUAAGCUGGAGGAAGGUGGGGAUGACGUCAAGUCCUCAUGGCCCUUACGUGUUGGGCUACACACGUGCUACAAUGGUAUCUACAACAGGAAGCAAAACGGCGACGUUAAGCAAAUCCUAGCCAAUCUCUAAAAUGUACCUCAGUUCGGAUUGUACUCUGUAACUCGAGUGCAUGAAGCUGGAAUUGCUAGUAAUCG
rnacentral:rRNA from 1 species